UUCAGCUUGAGGAUGAGACUCUUGCGGACUCUAAGCAUAAUGAUAGGAGGACAUCUUCUAUGGAUGCCGCUCCUCAGAUAUCCGUUUUUGAUACCGAUACAGAUGAUGUCAGUUGUAAAUGUACGUGGAAAAGUAUACUAAGGCAGAUACACAUAGUUUUGUUCUCCAAGAAGUUAAACCUACUUAUUCCGUGUGGUCCUUUAGCAAUGCUCGUUGAUAUGUUAACUGAUCAUCACGGAUGGAUCUUUUUUCUUAGCUUGUUAGGAAUCAUACCCCUUGCAGAGCGUUUAGGUUGGGCGACAGAGCAGCUGGCUUUCUAUACAGGACCAACAGUUGGAGGACUUCUAAAUGCAACUUUUGGCAACGCAACAGAGCUAAUAAUAUCAAUGUAUGCACUGAGAAGGGGCAUGAUCCGGGUGGUUCAACAGUCAUUAUUAGGAUCAAUACUGUCGAAUACGUUACUAGUGCUUGGAUGUGCAUUUUUUGCUGGUGGAAUUGCUCAUUCUACUAAGGACCAGCUUUUUGACAAGGGAAAUGCAGUGAUGAAUUCGGG
rnacentral:misc_RNA from 1 species